rnacentral:rRNA from 1 species
AUGCAAGACUACUUCGCGGAGGUACCUACAUACCCUCCUCGUCUCUUCCGCAGAAGGUACCGAAUGCGUCGUAGUUUGUUUGUGAAGAUUGUCACCGAUUGUGAGGCGGCCUCCUAUUACUUUAAACGUCGUAGAUCCGCCGCCGGUAUCAUGGAGUUUAGUGCAUAUCAAAAGAUAUCGGCGGCAAUGCGGGUACUCGCCUAUGGCAUACCCACGGACUAUACUGACAAGUAUCUUCGCAUUGGAAAAGAUACAACCACAGGGUCCGUCCGUAGGUUUGCAAAGUUGUUAUCAAGUUGUAUGGUGAGAAGUAUCUUCGGGCACCAAACGAGGAAGAUACAAAGAGACUGA